rnacentral:rRNA from 1 species
CGUAGGCGGGGAGGUAAGUCGGGUGUGAAAUCCCUCGGCCCAACCGAGGAACUGCGCCCGAGACUGCUUCUCUUGAGUCCCGGAGAGGAAGAUGGAAUUCCCGGUGUAGCGGUGAAAUGUGUAGAGAUCGGGAGGAACACCGGUGGCGAAGGCGGUCUUCUGGACGGUGACUGACGCUGAGGCGCGAAAGCGUGGGGAGCAAAACGG